rnacentral:lncRNA from 1 species
AGCUGCCGCCGCCGCGCCAGCAGGUCCUAAUGCCUGUCACUUCCCAGGACGCUGGCUGGAGCAGCCCGGAGCCCCCGAGCCCUCGGCAGGUUUGCCUGUCCUUCCCCGCGAUCUGAUUGGAUAAAGUGGGGGCUCGACGGUGGCCGACGUGGGACAGUCUGGCUGUGGCAGGGGUCUCGGAAACCAUGGGUUAUUGCAGUGGCAGGUGCACGCUUAUCUUUAUCUGUGGCAUGCAACUGCCCUCUCAGUGGGACCAAUUUGCAGGCUAUUUAGGGAGACUGGUGGACAGUCCUACUAGCUGUGGCUCUGCUUUUGUUCAUCCUUUCUUCUGGGGAAAAAUAGACAAGAAAAAGAAUAAAAAGAAAUGCAUUCUUGCCGUGGCAUUUUAUGACAUUUUUACAUUCGAACAUCUGGAAAGCCUAGUGUGACAGUGACAACCAACUUGACAAAGCUGCUGACUGCAUCCACUGUCACACACAAAAAAACAUUGGCACUAAAAGCACCACUUUAAUUCUGAAAAGCUCAAUAGCGUUUCUCCCCAUUUUGGCCUUGAAGAUAGAGAGGGAAGCCGCAUUUAUUUUGAAGAUGCAUUCUGAGGAUUGUACAUCACACACAUUGGGAAACAACAGUUCCAAAGAAAGGAACAUGCAUUAUAGGAAAAAAGAAGAGAGCAGCUGCAGAACUGGCUCUAAUUGCAGAUCCUGGAUGGAUUUGAUAAUCAAAUGACUACUCUGCAUAAACUCGGAGUAAAAUAGCAAAACAUUAAUUACUCCUAUUAUUGCUUUUAUAUAUUGAAAUGUAGAACAAAAUAAAUGCUUAAAACAUUUUAAGAACAGAAAUCUAAAGGACAAUAACAUUUCCACAUGGAGAUAUCUGCAAUGGUGAUGGAAAGAUGGCAUAGGAAGAAAUAAGUUCUAAAAUAAAAUGCUGAUAUAAAUAAAAUAAGUUACCUGUCUGUAAUAUGCUAUUAUUUAAAGAAGUUGCAAAAUGAGAUAAUGAUAUAAGGAUAAUAUUUUCGGUGUUUGAAAGAACAUGUUUACAGUGUGUCUUAGUCUGUUAGGACUGCCAUAACACAAUGCUACAGCCUGUGUGGCUUAUAAGCAACAGAAAUUUAUUUCUCACAGUUCGAGAGGCUAGAAGUCCAAGAUCCAGGUGCCAGCGCAGUAACCUUCUGGUGAGGACCCUCUUUCUGGUUCAUAGCAUAUUUUUGCUGUCUCCUUGCAUAGUGUAAGGGGGGAAUAAUUAGUUCUGUUGAAACUCUUGUAUAAAAGCACUAAUCUUGGGAGUUCCCAUUGUGGCUCAUUGGGUUAAGAACUUGCCUGGUAUCCAUGAAGAUGCAGGUUCGAUCCCUGACCUCACACAGUGGGUGAAGUAUCCCGUGUUACUGCAAGCUGCAGGGUAGGUCAUGGAUUCAGCUUGGCUCCUGCUUUGCUGUGGCUGUGGCAUAGGCUUCAGCUGCAGCUCCAGUUCAACCCCUAGCCUGGAAACUUUCAUGUGCUGUAGCCCCCCCCCCCAAAAAAAAAAGCCCAUAAAUGAGGGCUCCACCCCUAUGACCUAAUCGCUCCCCCCAAACCCCACCUUUUAACACCAUUACACCAGGCGUGAGGAUUCCAACAUGUAAAAUUGGAGGGGCACGAACAUUCAGACCAAAGCACAGUGAAAUGAUUUGGUUAAUUGGCAGGAAUUAAACAAGACUUCUGGUGUUAGGGCUAAUUAUGCUAAAGUAUUGUUAUUUGUGUGGCAAUAAAUUUUAUGAUUUACCUCUAA